AAUUUUCAAUCUCAUAUGUAGCUAAACAUGUGGCUUCACUCUUUAUUUUAGGAUCUUCACUAGUUUCCGCUAAUUGAACUAAAGCAUCUCUUAUUUUAGGAGCUUGGUUUUUAAUUGCUUUGACACUUUCAAUACGACUUUCCCAACGUGUUUGUGACAAGGGUUUAAGAGUUAAUGUGGAUAUAUUAUCUUGUAAAAUUUU
rnacentral:lncRNA from 1 species